GUCCACGCCGUAAACGAUGAGUGCUAGGUGCUGUGGGUAUUGACCCCCGCGGUGCCGCAGCCAACGCGUUAAGCACUCCGCCUGGGGAGUACGGCCGCAAGGCUAAAACUCAAAGGAAUUGACGGGGGCCCGCACAAGCGGUGGAGCAUGUGGUUCAAUUCGACGCAACGCGCAGAACCUUACCUGGGUUAAAUCCACUAGAAGGCUUCAGAGAUGAGGCUUUGCCCUUCGGGGAGCUAGUGAGAAGGUGCUGCAUGGCUGUCGU
rnacentral:rRNA from 1 species